rnacentral:lncRNA from 1 species
AUAACUAAAAUCUGAAUUUGCAAUUUUGAAAAGUUGAUAAAUGCCAAGUAAAACAUGAAGAUUUUGCAAACAAUUUUCCUCGCUUUCUCUGAGAUGAUGUUAUGUCAUGAUGGUGCAUGAAUGCGUAAACACAUGAGACUUUCAUUUCAAUCUUUUCUUUUACUCUCGCUUUUUUUCAUUUUCCUCUUUUUUUUUCUCUUCUUCUUCUUUUUUUUUUUUUUGGAAAAUUCCAUGUUUGGAAUCCAUUGUUAAUAUUGUCAUCAGACACGAUGUACAUUCAAAAUGCAUUCCUUGAAAACAACGUGGAGAGGUAUAAAACCCUUUCAUGAGCAGGAAGAAAGAGUAACCGAGUUAAAAUUCUUUUUAUCACUUUUUGCAAUCCAAAUUAACUUGAACCCUGGAGGGGGUGGGAAAAUGGUUAUGAAAAGCAGAUGAAUAAUGAUUGUCUAUGAGCAAAUAUUUACGCAUAUGUGUCCCUCAACUGGGAAAGAGUGCAAUUCAAUACUGCCCCAAUUUUGCACGGCAAGUAUGCUUUGGAAAAGUGAAAAGGUUUGGGUAGGAAGGAUUGCCUCAAACUGGAUGAUCUUCGAUUGACAGGGAGACCUCA